GACGAACGCUGGCGGCGUGCCUAAUACAUGCAAGUCGAACGCUUCUUUUUCACCGAACUUCGGUUCAUCGAAAAAGAGGAGUGGCGAACGGGUGAGUAACACGUGGGUAACCUGCCCAUCAGAAGGGGAUAACACUUGGAAACGGGUGCUAAUACCGUAUAAUGCUUUUUCUCGCAUGAGAGCAAGCUGAAAGGCGCUUUUGCGUCACUGAUGGAUGGACCCGCGGUGCAUUAGCUAGUUGGUGAGGUAACGGCUCACCAAGGCCACGAUGCAUAGCCGACCUGAGAGGGUGAUCGGCCACACUGGGACUGAGACACGGCCCAGACUCCUACGGGAGGCAGCAGUAGGGAAUCUUCGGCAAUGGACGAAAGUCUGACCGAGCAACGCCGCGUGAGUGAAGAAGGUUUUCGGAUCGUAAAAACUCUGUUGUUAGAG
rnacentral:rRNA from 1 species